CAUGACCACCUCGAGCAGUCAUAAGGAAGUCUACCUUCUCAUCGAUGACUAGCUCGAUGCUGCAGUUGUGUGUCUAGUUCUUUGACCUGAGGUGCAUCGACGGUUCACCUUGAGUGUGUUAUAGUUUGACUACACCAUAACUCGAUCUCCUAGCCAUUCGAAACCCUGAGGUGUAUGUUGGCUGUAGCAUAUCCAUUGUAGGAACCGGAUUGCACCAAGAUGGGAUCUAUCAACCUCGGUAGAUGAGAGGAGUAGUCCUAUGAUGAUUGAAAGAUCGAGUCCUUAAGCCCAUGGCCAUGGCAGAGUGAAAUAAUGGAAAAGAGUUUUUCAUUGGGGUUUCACAUCGGACUCGGAUCGAUCGAUUGAUUCAUAUGACUGAUGUUGGGUUUGACGAGUUCACCUUAACCCUAAUUCAGUCGGGACUCAUGAUAGAGGAACUCAAUCAUGCAAGUAGUUGCACCAAGAGGUUCGUCUUCAGUUCUGAUGGGUUGCCACCAUAUACUGCUAGGUGUCACUGGUG
rnacentral:lncRNA from 1 species